rnacentral:rRNA from 1 species
GAUGAACGCUGGCGGCGUGCCUAAUACAUGCAAGUCGAGCGAACAGAUGAGAAGCUCGCUUCUCUGAUGUUAGCGGCGGACGGGUGAGUAACACGUGGGUAACCUACCUAUAAGACUGGGAUAACUCCGGGAAACCGGGGCUAAUACCGGAUAAUAUUUUGAACCGCAUGGUUCAAUAGUGAAAGACGGUUUCGGCUGUCACUUAUAGAUGGACCCGCGCCGUAUUAGCUAGUUGGUAAGGUAACGGCUUACCAAGGCGACGAUACGUAGCCGACCUGAGAGGGUGAUCGGCCACACUGGAACUGGGACACGGUCCAGACUCCUACGGGAGGCAGCAGUAGGGAAUCUUCCGCAAUGGGCGAAAGCCUGACGGAGCAACGCCGCGUGAGUGAUGAAGGUCUUCGGAUCGUAAAACUCUGUUGUUAGGGAAGAACAAAUUUGUUAGUAACUGAGCAAGUCUUGACGGUACCUAACCAGAAAGCCACGGCUAACUACGUGCCAGCAGCCGCCGUAA